UUGGCCAUCCUCUUACGGUUCAUUAGCUCUGCACUUUGAUGAUAUGUGCUAGUUAAUACAAAAGGUGAAGCCUAUAAAUUUUGUUCCCCUCGCUAUCCAAUGCGGUUAUUUUAGUGUUGUACUUGGACGUUGGGGAGCUAUAUUA